UACGGGGGGAGCAAGCGUUGUUCGGAUUUACUGGGCGUAAAGCGUGCGCAGGCGGUUCUAUAAGACAGAUGUGAAAUCCCCGGGCUCAACCUGGGAACUGCAUUUGUGACUGUAGAGCUGGAGUACGGCAGAGGGGGAUGGAAUUCCGCGUGUAGCAGUGAAAUGCGUAGAUAUGCGGAGGAACACCGAUGGCGAAGGCAAUCCCCUGGGCCUGUACUGACGCUCAUGCACGAAAGCGUGGGGAGCAAACAGG
rnacentral:rRNA from 1 species